rnacentral:rRNA from 1 species
AACGAACGCUGGCGGCAUGCCUUACACAUGCAAGUCGAACGGUAACAGGUCUUCGGAUGCUGACGAGUGGCGAACGGGUGAGUAAUACAUCGGAACGUGCCCGAUCGUGGGGGAUAACGAAGCGAAAGCUUUGCUAAUACCGCAUACGAUCUACGGAGGAAAGCGGGGGAUCUUCGGACCUCGCGCGGACGGAGCGGCCGAUGGCAGAUUAGGUAGUUGGUGGGAUAAAAGCUUACCAAGCCGACGAUCUGUAGCUGGUCUGAGAGGAUGAUCAGCCACACUGGGACUGAGACACGGCCCAGACUCCUACGGGAGGCAGCAGUGGGGAAUUUUGGACAAUGGGCGCAAGCCUGAUCCAGCCAUGCCGCGUGCAGGAUGAAGGCCUUCGGGUUGUAAACUGCUUUUGUACGAAACGAAAAGGUGCCUUCUAAUAAAGGGCGCUCAUGACGGUACCGUAAGAAUAAGCACCGGCUAACUACGUG